rnacentral:rRNA from 1 species
AUUGAACGCUGGCGGCAGGCCUAACACAUGCAAGUCGAGCGGAUGAAGGGAGCUUGCUCCUGGAUUCAGCGGCGGACGGGUGAGUAAUGCCUAGGAAUCUGCCUGGUAGUGGGGGAUAACGUCCGGAAACGGGCGCUAAUACCGCAUACGUCCUGAUGGAGAAAGUGGGGGAUCUUCGGACCUCACGCUAUCAGAUGAGCCUAGGUCGGAUUAGCUAGUUGGUGGGGUAAAGGCCUACCAAGGCGACGAUCCGUAACUGGUCUGAGAGGAUGAUCAGUCACACUGGAACUGAGACACGGUCCAGACUCCUACGGGAGGCAGCAGUGGGGAAUAUUGGACGAUGGGCGAAAGCCUGAUCCAGCCAUGCCGCGUGUGUGAAGAAGGUCUUCGGAUUGUAAAGCACUUUAAGUUGGGAGGAAGGGCAGUAAGUUAAUACCUUGCUGUUUUGACGUUACCAACAGAAUAAGCACCGGCUAACUUCGUG